CUAUGAUGCAACAGUGCAAGAUUACGUCAAUCUUGUCUGUUCCAUGAAUUUCACUUCAGAACAUACCCGUACCAUCAUUCGAUCAAAUUACAAUUGCUCGAAUCCAUCGUCAGACUUGAACUACCCGUCUUUUAUUGCUCUAUAUGAAGUUGAAGCAAAGAAAAGCACUGUAACUCGGUUCAAGAGGACGCUCACAAAUGUAGGGGCUGGUGCAGCUACAUAUAAAGUCAAGGUAAAAGCACCAAAGAAUGCCACAGUGAAAAUAUCACCAGAGACAUUAGUUUUCAGAAAGAAAUAUGACAAGCAAAGCUAUUCUGUGACAAUUCAUUAUACGAGUAACGGCGAGCAUGAGACCACAGAUGGUUCACUCACUUGGAAUGAAGUGAAUGGCAAGCAUGCGGUCAGAAGUCCCAUUGUAGUCCAUCCUAGAACCGACAGCGAUGAAUGAUCUGCAUUGCAUCAAUCUUCUGAGUGCUAAUAUUUUGUGCUAACAUGUCUUAUAGUAGAAAAAAUGCAUUUCAUGCUGUCCUUUUUUUGAAUAAUGUAAAAGUUUUAUGAAAAUAAAGUUUGAAUAAUCAGAUUGGCAGUAUCUGCGGAUCAAGGCAGCCAGUUGGCCAGUACAUAUGAAAAAUAAAACCAUUCGAAAAGAUUCAACUCAUUGAAGAUAGAAUUAAGGGCAUAUAUCACAGUAAUUUGAAGAGUGAAAAUUUUACCCAGUUAUAAAAGAUUGAUCCAAUACCCUACUUCUAGAAUAGAAAGAAUCUAGCUAGGGAAAACUGAUAAACAUCUCGUGAUGGAACCACAGCCAAACUACAUGCAAACAAUCAGAGCAGCAUUUGAACAAGACAAGGUGCAAUACAUGAACAAACUUGAGUAGAAAACUAUGUUAGAUUCGAGCAAGAAAUCAACUUACAGCGUCAUUUCAUUAAGAUCGACAUACAAUUGUCCAUAUUUGGGCGAUAGUUUCCUUUCAGCUCGUGCAGAAAAUGUGAGAACACCACAAUCCACUCAUUCCCAUACCUCAAUACAGCUACAAGGCCGCAUCAAUUCGAGUAUCAAAGCGUACAGAGAUGUAUUUCUGCAUAAUAACAUCAAUUAUCUCAUUCAGGUAUUCUUCGAGUAGUUGAAAGACAAAAGUGAGCAUGUUUUCUUACUCUAAAAAUCAUUCACAUUUCUUGAUGGCUGAGAGUUCGAUCAACCAUCGCAUCGUGCCUUCACUCUUAGCCUCUCAUCAUCGAAUCACCGCGCCGACCAAAUACGAUCUUCGUAACCCUAAUUAUUUUCCCCAAAUUACCCAUCUUCGUAACCCUAAUUAUUUUCAACUGCUAAA
rnacentral:lncRNA from 1 species